UACAGAGGGUGCAAGCGUUAAUCGGAAUUACUGGGCGUAAAGCGCGCGUAGGUGGUUGUGUAAGUUGGAUGUGAAAGCCCCGGCGUUAACCUGGGAACGUGCAUUCAAAACUAGCACGGCUAGAGUACGGGAGAGGGGGUAGGAAUUCCAGGUGUAGCGGUGAAAUGUGUAGAUAUCUGGAGGAACACCAGUGGCGAAGGCGGCCCCCUCGG
rnacentral:rRNA from 1 species